rnacentral:rRNA from 1 species
UACGUAGGCAGCGAGCGUUGUUCGGAAUUACUGGGCGUAAAGAGUGUGUAGGUGGUGCUCUAAGUUUGGUGUGAAAUCUCCCGGCUCAACCGGGAGGGUGCGUCGAAUACUGAGGGACUAGAGUGCGGGAGAGGAAAGUGGAAUUCCUGGUGUAGCGGUGAAAUGCGUAGAUAUCAGGAGGAACACCGGUGGUGUAGACGGCUUUCUGGACCGUAACUGACGCUGAGACACGAAAGCGUGGGUAGCAAACAGG